AAAGCGUGAUCCGAAAAGCUUAAAACGAGUAGGAA
rfam:Chryseobacterium sp. MOF25P AB670_contig000067, whole genome shotgun sequence.